GAUGAACGCUGGCGGCGUGCCUAAUACAUGCAAGUAGAACGCUGAAGGAAGGAGCUUGCUCUUUCCGGAUGAGUUGCGAACGGGUGAGUAACGCGUAGGUAACCUGCCUGGUAGCGGGGGAUAACUAUUGGAAACGAUAGCUAAUACCGCAUAACAGUAGAUGUUGCAUGAUAUCUACUUAAAAGGUGCAAUUGCACCACUACCAGAUGGACCUGCGUUGUAUUAGCUAGUUGGUGAGGUAACGGCUCACCAAGGCGACGAUACAUAGCCGACCUGAGGGGGUGAUCCGCCAAACUGGGACUGGGACAACGCCCAGACUCCUACGGGAGGCAGCAGUAGGGAAUCUUCGGCAAAGGACGGAAGUCUGACCGAGCAACGCCGCGGGAGGGAAGAAGGUUCUCGGAUCGUAAAGCUCUGUUGUAAGGGAAGAACGAGUGUGAGAGUGGAAAGUUCACACUGUGACGGUAUCUUACCAGAAAGGGACGGCUAACUACGUG
rnacentral:rRNA from 1 species